rnacentral:rRNA from 1 species
GACGAACGCUGGCGGCGUGCUUAACCCAUGAAAGUCGAACGGAAAGGCCCUGCUUUUGUGGGGUGCUCGAGUGGCGAACGGGUGAGUAACACGUGAGUAACCUGCCCUUGACUUUUGGAUAACUUCAGGAAACUGGGGCUAAUACCCGAUAGGAGCUCCUGCUGCCUGGUGGGGGUUGGAAAGUUUCGGCGGUUUGGGAUGGACUCGCGGCUUAUCAGCUUGUUGGUGGGGUAGUGGCUUACCAAGUCUUUGACGGGUAGCCGGCAUGAGAGGGUGACCGGGCACAUUGGGACUGAGAUACGGCCCAGACUCCUACGGGAGGCAGCAGUGGGGAAUAUGGCACAAUGGGCGGAAGCCUGAUGCAGCAACGCCGCGUGCGGGAUGACGGCCUUCGGGUUGUAAACCGCUUUCGCCUGUGACGAAGCGUGAGUGACGGUAAUGGGUAAAGAAGCACCGGCUAACUACGUG